UACGUAGGGAGCAAGCGUUGUUCGGAUUUACUGAGCGUAAAGGGCGCGUAGGCGGCGCGGUAAGUCACUUGUGAAAUCUCUGAGCUUAACUCAGAACGGCCAAGUGAUACUGCAGUGCUAGAGUGCAGAAAGGGCAAUCGGAAUUCUUGGUGUAGCGGUGAAAUGCGUAGAUAUCAAGAGGAACACCUGAGGCGAAGGCGGGUUGCUAGGCUGACACUGACGCUGAGUGCGCGAAAGCCAGGGGAGCAAACGGG
rnacentral:rRNA from 1 species